UUGUACAGUCGAAGGCGAAAUGAAAGUGUUAAUGAAAAUGAACUGCAGACCUUUAUGGAGUGCUGUUCAAUUUUUCAACAUGAUCGUCAAAUUUUGGGCUUAAUUGUGCAAAAUAAUAGAUGUAUGGGGACGCGCAGUGUGGUGCCGUUGAAUAGUCGCACUGUUCUCUCUUUCUCUUCGGGGUUGGAGGAACAAUUGUCGAUCAGUCGGUUUCGGAGCGUGCACACUGGUACCCGAAAGAUGGUGAACUAUGCUUGAGCAGAAUGAAGCCAGAGGAAACUCUGGUGGAAGUUCGUAGCGGUGUUGACGUGCAAAUCACUCGUCUGACUUGAGUGUAGGGGCGAAAGACUAAUCGAACCAUCUAGUUGCUGGUUCCUUCCGAAGUUUCCCUCAGGAUAGCUGGCAUUUGUUUGUAACAAUUUUAUCCGGUAGAGCGAAUGAUUAGAGGUGUUGGGAACGCAAUGUUCUCAGCCUAUUCUCAAACUUCGAAUGGGUAAGCAAGGCGUUUUGCUUUGAUUUUACGAUGAAAUCGCCCAAUUAAAAUGUAUAAAUGCCUAGUGGGCCAAUUUUGGUAAGCAGAACUGGCGAUGUGGAAUGAACCAAAAGUCAGGUUAAGGUGCCAGACAUUGGCGCUCAUGAAAUACCAGAAAAGGUGUUGGUCGAUAUAUACAGC
rnacentral:ncRNA from 1 species